rnacentral:rRNA from 1 species
CAAUAGCGUAUAUUAAAGUUGUUGCAGUUAAAAAGCUCGUAGUUGGAUUUGUGGCGUACGGUGUGUUCCGGGCACUUGUUGCCUGAGUAACCUGCUGCUGCCAUCCUUGGGUGGAACCUGUGUGGCAUUAGGUUGUCGUGCAGGGGAUGCCCAUCAUUUACUGUGAAAAAAUUAGAGUGUUCAAAGCAGGCUUAUGCCGUUGAAUAUAUUAGCAUGGAAUAAUGAGAUAGGACUUUUUUGCUAUUUUGUUGGUUUGCGCAAAGAGGUAAUGAUUAAUAGGGACAGUUGGGGGUAUUCGUAUUCCAUUGUCAGAGGUGAAAUUCUUGGAUUUUUGGAAGACGAACUACUGCGAAAGCAUUUACCAAGGAUGUUUUCAUCAA